AUGAAUCUCCUAUUCUAGAACUGCCGAGGGGGUAGGAACCACCGGAUAGUUCGUGAGGUGUUGGCGCUUGCAAAAGUCAUUGUCUCCAAACUUGUUUUUCUCUGCGAGACAAGACAAGUUUCAGCUAAGAUUGAGAAGAUGAAGUUGGGGUUAGGUAUGAAGAGUUUCCAUGGUGUUGGUAGUGACGACAUAAGUGGUGGUUUGAUUUUGUUUUGGGAUGAAUCGUUGCAAGUGGAUGGUCUGGAACACCAUGCAUUCCAUUAA
rnacentral:rRNA from 1 species